CAUUUGCACACAAAAAGUUUAUCUCUCACUCGUCGACCACGAUCGUUUUUCUCUCCUAAAACCGCCAUUAAAUUUCCUCCAACUACCUUGAUUUACUUUCUCUCUCUCUUCAAAUUGUUGUUAAUCUUCAUUAUAAAAACUAAAUUUGCAUAAAAAAUUCAAAAAGAAAAACAUGUUCCUUCUUUUUGGUGAAAACAAAGGAGAAAAAAGGAUGUUCGAGAUGAAAUUGACAUGAAAAAACUUGAAAAUCCACAUAGAACACAAAAAAAUACAAAGUGUCCGCAGGAAAAACAACAAACUACUGGAAAAUCUACUAAUCCUCCAGAAAUCGGCACUUGAAAGCAAGAAGGCACGACGAAAACUGGAAAAUACAAAAUUACGACUGAAAUUGGCACUGAAAAGCAAAAAGAAACAGUCCGG